AGUUUCUGUGCAUAGUGGUAUAAAGAAAAUAUCUUUAUGUGUCUUAAUACCAUUACUAAAUAUGCCUAAGUAAUUUUCUUCUCAUAUUCUAGUUAAGUAUUAAUCAUUACUUGUGUUUUCAUGUGGCCUUUAGUAUGUAUUUCUAGGAUAUAAUAAAAUUGGAUUAGGAAAAUAGACAGCUUUGUGGGCAAAUCUGGUCCAAUGUCUGUGUGUGUGUGUGUGUGUGUGUGUGAAUAAAGAUUUAUUGGAACACCACAUACACAAAGAAAAUAGAUAGCUUGAUAUGGCUAGGUGGUCCAAAAUCUGUUGGACUAUGAAAGUUUUCACUUUGAAAUAUGAGUCUAAAACAGAGAGUUACUAGUGUUGAAUCGAUUGAUAAAGAUCUGUGUCUGUGUGUCAGAGCUUUUAUCCUAUGAUGGAAAAUUGUGCAGAAGUAUUCACAGCAAUGCCCUUUGGCAGAGAGCUGCUUCUCACCAGUACCUCCCCAGGCCCGGCAAAGCCUGUGUCAACUCCCUACGCCUUCCAACCCACCCCAUUUCCUACCAGUACACUCAGAAUAACAAGAAUUACAGAAUUUUUAGCUAUGCAUACCCUACUGAAAGUAGGAUGAACACAGCAAUUUUAAAGGAAAUUAAAAC